rnacentral:lncRNA from 1 species
UUUAAUGCAAGCAAAUUAGAUAAUUUACUAGAUGAAGUGAGUGUAGAGAGAAAAAGAGACAGUAGCCAAUACAAACACAACCAAGUUUAUAGUGGUUCGGAGCCAACUCUUGCUCCUACGUCCACUUUCCAAGCCGCACUUGGGUUUUCACUAUAAUCCCUAAGAUUAUAGCCGGUUGUUUUAUAAGCUCACAACCUAACUUGUUGUUUUUCCGAGAUUACAACGAACUCGGUCGGUUUUCACAGGCUCACCGACUAGAACCGCCCAAUUGUUUUUUCGGGUUCACAAUCAAACCUAGUUGGUUUUUUCCGGUUCACCAACCAAAACCUUACAUCGUUGGUUUUAUAUUUGGCUCACCAAUAAACCUUACAACCCUUGAUUCAAUCCCCUGAUUGAAUCAAGUAAGAAAAAUAGAGUUUGGGAUUUCACAGAGAAAGCUUCUAAACAAGCAGAUGUGAAAACAAUAAAUGCGAAGUAAAGUUAGAAGCCCUCAAACAGAUUUCAAAAGAGGAAGAAAGGGCUUCUCGAACUCUGAGUCUUCUCUUUGAGUGUACUGAAGAUUUGAUGUCAGAAGAAGAGCCUUGAAUGCGAAGGAAAAACUUCUAAGAAUGAAUUGAAUGCAUUUCUUCCUUCUUUUCCUUGUCUUUGCUCUCAAUGGACUCUUGAUAGUUGGAAAUGCCUUAAUGCACAGAUGGAGUAACUUUCUUGUUGUCUACUAUUGUUUACUCUGGCUAUUUAAACAGUCCCUUUUGAAAAAUAGCCGUUAGACACUGAUUUGUAGCCGUUCUGCACAGUCUGCACCUCCUGACAAUGUAUCCGUUGGGGUUGGAGUCGACUCGCUCGAUCUAGAGUCGACUCGACUGUUGCUGGAGUCGACUCAUGCUUUACUGGAGAUGACUCGCCCACUGUUCAGAAUUUGAAUUAAAGUGUCAUCCCAACCUGGAGUCGACUCGGUCCAAGCCUGGAGUCGACUCGCCAAGAUCUGGAGAUGACUCG